UACGUAGGGGGCAAGCGUUGUCCGGAUUUAUUGGGCGUAAAGAGCGUGUAGGCGGCUAGGUAGGUCCGUUGUGAAAACUCGAGGCUCAACCUCGAGACGUCGAUGGAAACCAUCUAGCUAGAGUCCGGAAGAGGAGAGUGGAAUUCCUGGUGUAGCGGUGAAAUGCGCAGAUAUCAGGAAGAACACCCGUGGCGAAGGCGGCUCUCUGGUACGUGGCUGACGCUGAGACGCGAAAGCGUGGGGAGCGAACAGG
rnacentral:rRNA from 1 species